rnacentral:misc_RNA from 1 species
GAUGAAGAACGUAGCGAAAUGCGAUACGUAAUGUGAAUUGCAGAAUUCAGUGAAUCAUCGAAUCUUUGAACGCAUAUUGCGCUCUCUGGUAUUCCGGAGAGCAUGCUUGUUUGAGUAUCAGUAAACACCUCAACUCCCCUUUCUUUUUUUGAAAUGGGAGCUGGACUUGAGUGAUCCCAACGCUUUUCUCACCGAAAAGUGGCGGGUUACUUGAAAUGCAGGUGCAGCUGGACUUUUCUCUGAGCUAAAAGUAUAUCUAUUUAGUCUGCCUAAAAAACAGAUUAUUACCUUUGCUGCAGCUAACAUAAAGGAGAUUAGUUCUUGUGCUGACUGAUGCAGGAUUCACAGAGACAGCUUCGGCUGGCCUUUGUAAACUCGAUCUCAAAUCAAGUAAGACUACCCGCUGAACUUAAGCAUAUCAAUAAGCGGAGGA